rnacentral:rRNA from 1 species
UACAGAGGUCUCGAGCGUUGUUCGGAAUUACUGGGCGUAAAGCGCGUGUAGGCGGUUGUCCAAGUUGGAUGUGAAAGCCUUGAGCUCAACUCAAGAAAUGCAUUCAGGACUGGAUGACUAGAGGACCGGAGAGGAUAGUGGAAUUCCCAGUGUAGUGGUGAAAUACGUAGAGAUUGGGAAGAACACCAGUGGCGAAGGCGGCUAUCUGGACGGUUUCUGACGCUAAGACGCGAAAGCGUGGGGAGCAAACAGG